UGAAAGGUAGUUUAAUAAGAAUACAGGAUUGUCAAUCUUGAGGUAUCUGGGUAGAUUCUUUUAG
rnacentral:tRNA from 1 species